AUGAACGCUAGCUACAGGCUUAACACAUGCAAGUCGAGGGGCAGCAUGGUCUUAGCUUGCUAAGGCCGAUGGCGACCGGCGCACGGGUGAGUAACACGUAUCCAACCUGCCGUCUACUCUUGGACAGCCUUCUGAAAGGAAGAUUAAUACAAGAUGGCAUCAUGAGUCCGCAUGUUCACAUGAUUAAAGGUAUUCCGGUAGACGAUGGGGAUGCGUUCCAUUAGAUAGUAGGCGGGGUAACGGCCCACCUAGUCUUCGAUGGAUAGGGGUUCUGAGAGGAAGGUCCCCCACAUUGGAACUGAGACACGGUCCAAACUCCUACGGGAGGCAGCAGUGAGGAAUAUUGGUCAAUGGGCGAGAGCCUGAACCAGCCAAGUAGCGUGAAGGAUGACUGCCCUAUGGGUUGUAAACUUCUUUUAUAAAGGAAUAAAGUCGGGUAUGGAUACCCGUUUGCAUGUACUUUAUGAAUAAGGAUCGGCUAACUCCGUGCCAGCAGCCGCGGUAAUACGGAGGAUCCGAGCGUUAUCCGGAUUUAUUGGGUUUAAAGGGAGCGUAGAUGGAUGUUUAAGUCAGUUGUGAAAGUUUGCGGCUCAACCGUAAAAUUGCAGUUGAUACUGGAUAUCUUGAGUGCAGUUGAGGCAGGCGGAAUUCGUGGUGUAGCGGUGAAAUGCUUAGAUAUCACGAAGAACUCCGAUUGCGAAGGCAGACUGCUACGCUGCAACUGACAUUGAGGCUCGAAAGUGUGGGUAUCAAACAGGAUUAGAUACCCUGGUAGUCCACACGGUAAACGAUGAAUACUCGCUGUUUGCGAUAUACUGCAAGCGGCCAAGCGAAAGCGUUAAGUAUUCCACCUGGGGAGUACGCCGGCAACGGUGAAACUCAAAGGAAUUGACGGGGGCCCGCACAAGCGGAGGAACAUGUGGUUUAAUUCGAUGAUACGCGAGGAACCUUACCCGGGCUUAAAUUGCAGAUGAAUUACGGUGAAAGCCGUAAGCCGCAAGGCAUCUGUGAAGGUGCUGCAUGGUUGUCGUCAGCUCGUGCCGUGAGGUGUCGGCUUAAGUGCCAUAACGAGCGCAACCCUUGUUGUCAGUUACUAACAGGUUCCGCUGAGGACUCUGACAAGACUGCCAUCGUAAGAUGUGAGGAAGGUGGGGAUGACGUCAAAUCAGCACGGCCCUUACGUCCGGGGCUACACACGUGUUACAAUGGGGGGUACAGAGGGCCGCUACCACGCGAGUGGAUGCCAAUCCCCAAAACCUCUCUCAGUUCGGACUGGAGUCUGCAACCCGACUCCACGAAGCUGGAUUCGCUAGUAAUCGCGCAUCAGCCACGGCGCGGUGAAUACGUUCCCGGGCCUUGUACACACCGCCCGUCAAGCCAUGGGAGCCGGGGGUACCUGAAGUGCGUAACCGCGAGGAGCGCCCUAGGGUAAAACUGGUGACUGGGGCU
rnacentral:rRNA from 1 species